UCGUCUCAUCACAUUCACAUCCCCCAAAACCCCCCCUCACUCUCUCUCUCUCUCUCUCUCCUCGUUCUAUGGUGGUAGCCAUCAUCGGUACUGUUUGAUUUGUUCAGAUGGAGUCGGAGUACGUGUCGCCGACACCUGUAUACCUUGCAUGGAAGAGAGAGAAGAGAGGUGGUGGCCAAGAAAGCCAGACCGUGUUUGUUUCUUCAUUUUUAGCUUUCUGGGUUUUUCUCUCUCUCUUUCUUGGUGGUCUGAUCACGGUCUGAGAAAACCAUAAAUGUGGUCGUAAUGGUUGAUUUGAAGCAUGUUUGUUGAGUCUUUGUCUCUUUCCGUAAAUGGGUUUUUCAGAUCUGACUCUUUGGGAUGUGGGUUUACAUUUUCUUUGCCUUUUUGUUUGUUUGCCAUAUCUGGAAAAAAGAAAUAUGAGUCUUGAUCUGUGAUUUUCUUUCUCUUUUUCAUUUUCUCGUUCUGGGUCUCUGCUUGAAAAAACUGACAGAAGAGAGUGAGCACACAGAGGCUAAUUGGUAUAAGUCUAUGCCAUUGCUUUUGCGUGCUCACUUCUCUUCUGUCAUUUUGCUCUCUCCCGGAAUUUGUUUCUCUCUCUCUCUAUAUAUAUCUAUUUGUUUUUCUGGUUUGUGGGUUGGGUGUGUGUAUGUAGUAGUUGAACACAUGAGAAGGUUGUGGGAAAAGAAUGGUUACAAGAUGAUGGUGGUUUUGAGUGUCUAUUUGCUUUGGUUUUUAGUGGGUUUGAAUUUGAUUAUAGAUUUGGUAGGGUGAAUAGCCUGAAAGCGUGACUUUUGAUGGGUUUUCUUUGAGAAGGUAACCCUAAUUAUUGUGCUAAUUUAACAGAAAACUGUAUGAUUAUGGGACCAUUACCAUUUACAAAGCACGUUUCAUACACAUAUACAUAUAUGGUCCUCCACACAAAGCCUCUCUCUCUCUCUCUCUCUUCAUCUAUUGGUUACCUUUCUUGCGCAUGCUAUGAGUACUUGAGAAUUGGUUCCAAUUGGAGUUUGUUUUUCACCCGAAUCUAGCCUUAAUCAGGUAGUUUGUACACUCAGUUUUCAUUAGAUAAACUUUUUCAUGAUUUAAUUCAUCAUCUGAUCUGAAUCUGUAGCAUGAAACUUGUUUCUUGUGAUCCCUUUGCAAAAUUGGUUUUCAUUUCACCUUUUGUGUGAGUUUUGUGACUCUUGGCUCAUAUAUGCUCUUUUUAGAUAUUGGGUAUUUUGUGGGUUUGUUUUUCUCCUGAAUCUGAAUCCAAGUUUUGGUGAUUUUAUGCUUGGAUCUUUUAUGAAUCUUGGAAAAAACUUGUAGUCAAUAUUGUUGGUGUACUUUGUUUCUGGUUUUGAUUUUGAUGCGAUGAUAAAGUUUAAGAGUAGUACAAGUGGUACAAGUUCUAGCUUUAGCACCGUUUCGUUACUGAUAAUGAUUUCUUUAUAUUAAUUUUGGCAGAUAGGGAACUUUUUUUUGUUGUUUUUUCGAGUUUUUAGCAGAUAAGCUUGGAUUUUGGAGAAAGAUUCAGGUAUUCUGAUGAAGACCAGGUAUUUGAUUAUAUUUCUAAGAAGCUGUUUAUAACAUUGUGAUUGAACUUCGCUUGCAUUUUCAAUUGCCGUAAAGCAUUUAGUUGAUCUAAACACUAAAAACAAGUUGUUUUUGCUUGUUUUCUUGUGGAACAUGUCACUAAUUACCAAAUCUCACUUUGGUCAUAAAAUUGUGCAUAUUAGUUUGCUUUUUCUCUUUUGGGGAUAUAUCGAAAUUGAAGAGUUAUAUUAGCUGACCAUCCACUUUAAUUUUUGUGUUUUCAUUUGUGGUCUUCUGGGUAUCAUUGUUGUAUCACUUUAAUUUUUGUUUUUUGAUUUGUGGUUUGGGUAUAUUUGAUGGGUUACCAGAAUGGAACUACUUUGGCUGUGAUCUUAGCUACUUCUACGAUAUGAGUGUACCAUAUUAUUUUUGUAGGGUCAUUUUAUGAUGUGGCCUCCAUUUCUUCUGCAGGUAUGCGAUGUUUAUUACAUGCUUCUUUUCUUCUUUUUGAAUGUUGAGUUUUGUCUUCACAUGAUAUAGAGUGCACGAAAUGGGCUGUUUCUUGGAACAUUCAAAUAGUCUGAUUAAUCUAUUGCUUGGAGCCCAUAUUUGCAAUGCAAAAAUGUAAUUUUAAGCAGACGAGUGGUGUUUGCUGAUGUCUUCCUAGUUGAUCGUGAUAUUGUAGGCAUUUCUCAACGAGCGAGAAUUUCACAGGCGAGAUUCAUUGAAAUUCACAAUGACAACCAUUAUGAUGAAAACAUACAAAGAAUACUCAUUGUUGUCAAAUCAAUUCUCCCUAGAUUGACAACAAUCGUUUUUUGUCCAUGAGGAUCCAUCCCGUCAGAAACCAUCAUGCUUUCUACUUCUACUUGGCUAUAUGAACGAGAUGGGAAUCAUUCACAAUGAGUCCAUAAGAAGUGAUCCCAUUUUUUCGUCUAGUUCGGAUAGAUACCAAAGAUCUUGAGCCAACCCAUUCAGCUGAAUA